rnacentral:lncRNA from 1 species
AGUACAUCUGGUUGAAAGAGAAAAGGCAGAGAGAAAAGCAGACUUUUCGGAGAAGUUGUUCUCAGGCACUAACAGAUUCAUCCCUUAUAGGCAUAUGAAUGGACAAUAAGAUUUCUUGGAUAUUUUCAUGGCGAAGGAUAAGAGUGAAGCUAUCCUGGCCAAGAACUUUGAGAGAGACACCACUUUUCACUCUGAAGGACCAAAAAAUGAGUAGAAAAUUUGGAAUAAAUGUCAACAAGAUUUGAACCCUAAAGAAAAACAAGCAUCUGAAUUAGACAGACGUCCAUAUUCAUUCAGCUGGGAAACUAAAACUCUGCAGUCCCAAUAUCAGAAUUUCCUUGGUCAGUUGGCUACUGUGUGACAGUAUUCUUCUGCAUGACGGCAUUGUCUCUCUACCAACUACAGAGGAGGCUGGUAAAGAGAGGAUUCGGAAAAUUGGUGCAAAUAAGAAAUCUUGGAAAUCUUGAAAGAAGAGAAGAGGCUGUUCAUUAUUAUAUUGGAGGUAGUGCAGCAUGUUUGUUAAGAGCGCGGAGCCCCAGCAUGAAGCCUAGCUCUGCCAUUUGCCAGCUGUGUGCUCUUGGGCAGAUUACUUAUCCUCUCUGUGCCUCAUUUUCAUUUGUGAAGUGGGGGACGGUGUGUAGUUCCCACCUCACAGAGUGAUUGCAGAGUUAACACAUGAUAAAUGCUUAGUUUAGUAUAAGUUCAAUAAAAAUCAAAAUGGGCCGGGUGUGGUGGCUCACGCCUGUAAUCCCAGCACUUUGGGAGGCAGAGACGGGAGGAUCACGAGGUCAGGAGAUCGAGAACAUCCUGGCUAACACGGUGAAACCCCGUCUCUACUAAAAAUACAAAUGUUAACUGGGCAUGGUGAUGUGCACCUCUAAUCUCAGCUACUUGGGAGGCUGAGGCAGGAGAAUCACUUGAACCAGGGAGGUGGAGGUUGCAGUGAGCUGAGAUUGUGGCACUGCACACCAGCCUGGGCAACAGAGCUAGACUCUGUCUCAAAAAUAAAUAAAUAAAUAUACAUUUUACUAGUUUAUUUUGGUUUAUAUAUAAUGACUAUAUAUAGUAUGUUUAUUAAAUCUGCACCCUACUUUCUCUUUUCCCUUCUUAAGUUAAUGUGCUUUUUUUGUCUUUUGUUUUUAAAUCAGAAAAGGAGUAAGUACUAUUAAACGUUUCUCUGUAGCUUGUCCAAUAGAUUUUUAUAAGACAUGUUUGUUUUCACUAUGUUCUAUGUAUUUUUGUAAUUUUAGUGUUGAUUUCCAUUUUUUGAACUGAAGGUAUUUAGAAUUUUUGCUUGUUUGUUUUUUGUUUUUGGGACAGAGUUUCACUCUUGCUGCCCAGGCUGGAGUGCAGUGGUGCAAUCUCGGCUCACUGCAACCUCCGCCUCCUCCCAGGUUCAAGCAAUUCUCCUGCUUCAGCCUCCCUAGUAGCUGGGAUUACAGGUGCGCACCACCAUACCCAGCAAAUUUUUGUAUUUUUAGUAGAGACAGGGUUUCAUCACCUUGGCCAGGCUGGUCUCAAACUCCUGACCUCAAGUGAUCCACCUGCCUCAGCCUCCCAAAGUGCUGGGAUUACAGGCGUGAGCCACUGCACCCAGCCUAGAAUUUUUUUUAACCCUUUACACACACACACACACAUUUCAUAAUCAAAUAUACCAAGAGUAUUUUAUUGAAAAGGAGCAGCCCUCUUCUGUACUUCUCUUUUUUCCCAGAGGGAGCUCUUUUUAACUCUUUUAGCUGUUUCUGGUAGUAACUUCCAUUUUCCUAAAUAAUUUUAAACCACCUUAUCUCGAGUUAUCUAUAUUAGACAUGUUGUUGAUUUCCUGUUAUCUGAUAGAUGAAAUUUCAUCUCUCUCUUUUUUUUUUUUUUUUUUUUUUUGAGACAGAAUUUCAUUCUUAUCACCCAGGUUGGAGUGCAGUGGCACAAUCUCGGCUCACUGCAACCUCCGCCUUCCGGGUUCAAGUGAUUCUCCUGCCUCAGCCUCCCGAGUAGCUGGGAUUACAGGCAUGCAUCACCAGGCCUAGCUAAUUUUGUAUUUUUAGUAGAGACGGGGUUUCUCCAUGUUGGUCAGGCUGGUCUCGAACUCCCGACCUCAGGUGAUCUGCCUGCCUUGCCCUCCCAAAGUACUGGGAUUACAAGAGUGAGCCACUGCGCCCAGUCUGAAAUUUCAUCUCUCUUAUACCACUUUCCUACCUGCUCCUUUCUCAUCUUUCCAAUAUGGUUAUAUUGAUAUUUUAAGCUAAAUGCAUAAUCAGCAUUUACAUUACCGUGAUACUAAAUGUUUACAGAAGCGUGAAGUACUAUAUUCUUGGUACAUUUUCUUUAUUGUAUUGCAUUUUAUUUUUCCUGUAGCUAAUACCUUCCUUAUAUUUUCAUACAUUUAAUUUUCAGCAUUCAUUUAUUAAGGUUUUUUCCUGCCCAAAUCUGUAUCAGAUGAUCCUUUAGUCUGUAAAAAUCUCCCAUUUUUUCUCUCCCAAAGUUCUUCAUUCCCUUGCUGCAGUCUGGAUUUUGCUCUGUGGGCCUGGGCACAUCUAUGAUCCUGUGACUUUCCUUCUCUAAUCUCCUGGUUAGGUUUCAUUGUUUGCCAAAUCACAUUUCUUCCUCUUUUUUGGUUUCCUUUCUUAUUUUACUGGAACACAUCCUCCAAUGGCUUCCCAAGAAAUGGUGCCUUGUAGAGAGACAUUUUUUGAGGUCCUUGUGUGAAUGACAAUGUCUUUGAAUCAUCAUACUCAAUUGAUAGCUGGGUUUAGACUUUAUUUUCAAACACAGACUCCAUUGUUUUCUAGUCUCUAGGAUUGUUAUUGAGAAAAAUGUGCCAUUUUGAUUCUUGUUCCUUAAUACGUUAUUUUAGUUCUUUUAAUUGAUUAAAACAUUUACUACACUUUUUUUGUAAUAACAUUUUAGAUAACUAAUUUUUUUCUCAUAAUAAAAUUAAUUCAGCUGGACAUGGUGGCUCACGUCCAUAAUUCCAGCACUUAGGGAGGCUGAGGUGGGUGGAUAGCUGGAGCCCAGGAAUUUUAGAUCAGCCUGGACAGCAUGGCAACACCCCAUCUCUACAAAAUAUUCAAAAACUAGCCAGGCGUGGUACACACCUGUAGUCCCAGCUACUGGGGAGGCUGAGGUGGGAGGAUGGGUUGAGAAUGGGAGGUCGAGGCUGCAGUGUGUUGUGAUUGCACCACUGCACUCUAGCCUGAGCAACAGAGUGAGACCCUGUCUCAAAAAAUAAAAAAAUCAUGUGUAUUAGUGAAGAUUUGUAAAGUAGAAAAUAAUAGAAAUAAAAUUGAAAUCACCAGUACUGCUACCAUAUUGCUAUAACUAAUAUUAAAUAUAGGUACAUUUGCCUCUGGUUAUUUUCCAUGUAUUUUUUUUUUAUCAUAAUCGAGUUAUGCAUAGUUUUUCUUUUUUUUUUUUUUUUUUUGAGACGGAGUCUGGCUCUGUCACCCAGACUGGAGUACAGUGGCCGGAUCUCAGCUCACUGCAAGCUCGGUCUCCCAGGUUCACGCCAUUCUCCUGCCUCAGCCUCCCGAAUAGCUGGGACUACAGGCGCCCGCCACCUCGCCCGGCUAGUUUUUUGUAUUUUUUUAGUAGAG